GCCGGGGUGGUGAAAUUGGUAGACACGUCGGAUUCAAAAUCCGAUGGUAGCAAUACCGUGCCGGUUCGAGUCCGGCCCUCGGUACCA
rnacentral:tRNA from 1 species